rnacentral:rRNA from 1 species
GAUGAACGCUGGCGGCGCGCCUAACACAUGCAAGUCGAACGGCACCCCUCCUCGGAGGGAAGCGAGUGGCGAACGGCUGAGUAACACGUGGAGAACCUGCCCCCUCCCCCGGGAUAGCCGCCCGAAAGGACGGGUAAUACCGGAUACCCCGGGGUGCCGCCUGGCACCCCGGCUAAAGCCCCGCCGGGAGGGGAUGGCUCCGCGGCCCAUCAGGUAGACGGCGGGGUGACGGCCCACCGUGCCGACAACGGGUAGCCGGGUUGAGAGACUGGCCGGCCAGAUUGGGACUGAGACACGGCCCAGACUCCUACGGGAGACAGCAGUGGGGAAUCUUGCGCAAUGGGGGGAACCCUGACGCAGCGACGCCGCGUGCGGGACGGAGGCCUUCGGGUCGUAAACCGCUUUCAGCAGGGAAGAGUCAAGACUGUACCUGCAGAAGAAGCCCCGGCUAACUACGUG